UACGAAGGGGGCUAGCGUUGCUCGGAAUUACUGGGCGUAAAGGGAGCGUAGGCGGAUAGUUUAGUCAGAGGUGAAAGCCCAGGGCUCAACCCUGGAAUUGCCUUUGAUACUGGCUAUCUUGAGUGUGGGAGAGGUUAGCGGAACUCCGAGUGUAGAGGUGAAAUUCGUAGAUAUUCGGAAGAACACCAGUGGCGAAGGCGGCUAACUGGACCCAUUACUGACGCUGAGGCUCGAAAGCGUGGGGAGCAAACAGG
rnacentral:rRNA from 1 species